CGCCUAUUGAAAUUAUAGUAGGUCCAUCCUGCCCAGUGAAUUUAUUUCAACGGCCGCGGUAUCCUGACCGUGCAAAGGUAGCAUAAUCAUUUGCCUUUUAAUUGAAGGCUAGUAUGAAAGGACACACAAGAAUAAAACUGUCUCAAUUGGGUUCUCUUAAAACUGAUCUCCGGGUGAAGAAGCCCGGGUCCCUAUAAAGGACAAGAAGACCCUAUAGAGCUUUAUCAGUAUAAGCAAUUUCCAACUUUCUUACUGAUUUGGUUGGGACAACCAAAAGACAUUCCUACCUCUUUUAUAACAACGUCAACCCUCACCCACUACUGAACUAGAAUUUCAAGCUACCUUAGGGAUAACAGGCUAAUCCCACUAGAGAGACCACAUUGACAGUGGGGAUUGGCACCUCGAUGUUGGCUUUGUGUAACCAUUAGGCGCAGCCGCUUAAUUGUGUUGGUUUGUUCAACCAUUAAAUCACU
rnacentral:rRNA from 1 species